UAGCGUAGGGUGCAAGCGUUAAUCGGAAUUACUGGGCGUAAAGCGUGCGCAGGCGGUUAUGUAAGACAGAUGUGAAAUGCCCGGGCUCAACCUGGGAACUGCAUUUGUGACUGCAUCGCUGGAGUGCGGCAGAGGGGGAUGGAAUUCCGCGUGUAGCAGUGAAAUGCGUAGAUAUGCGGAGGAACACCGAUGGCGAAGGCAAUCCCCUGGGCCUGCACUGACGCUCAUGCACGAAAGCGUGGGAGCAAACAGG
rnacentral:rRNA from 1 species